GACGAACGCUGGCGGCGUGCUUAACACAUGCAAGUCGAACGGAAAGGCCCUGCUUUUGUGGGGUGCUCGAGUGGCGAACGGGUGAGUAACACGUGAGUAACCUGCCCUUGACUUUGGGAUAACUUCAGGAAACUGGGGCAAAUACCGGAUAGGAGCUCCUGCUGCAUGGGGGGGGUUGGAAAGUUUCGGCGGUUGGGGAUGGACUCGGGGCUUAUCAGCUUGUUGGUGGGGAGGGGCUUACCAAGGCUUUGAAGGGUAGCCGGCCUGAGAGGGUGACCGGCGACAUUGGCCCGGAGACUCCGCCCAGACGCCUUCGGGAGGAAGCAGUGGGGAAUAGUGCACAAUGGGCGGAAGCCUGAGUCAGCAAUGCCGCGUGCGGGAUGGUGGCCUUCGUGUUGUAGCCCGCUUUCGCCUGUGACGAAGCGUGAGUGACGGUAAUGGGUAAAGAAGCACCGGCUAACUACGUG
rnacentral:rRNA from 1 species